GGGCGGUUAGCUCAGCUGGUAGAGCGCCACGUUGACAUCGUGGAGGUCACACGUUCGAGUCGUGUACCGCCCA
rnacentral:tRNA from 1 species